rnacentral:rRNA from 1 species
UGGGGAAUAUUGGACAAUGGGGGCAACCCUGAUCCAGCCAUGCCGCGUGUGUGAAGAAGGCCUUUUGGUUGUAAAGCACUUUAAGCAGGGAGGAGAGGCUAAUGGUUAAUACCCAUUAGAUUAGACGUUACCUGCAGAAUAAGCACCGGCUAACUCUGUGCCAGCAGCCGCGGUAAUACAGAGGGUGCGAGCGUUAAUCGGAAUUACUGGGCGUAAAGCGAGUGUAGGUGGCUCAUUAAGUCACAUGUGAAAUCCCCGGGCUUAACCUGGGAACUGCAUGUGAUACUGGUGGUGCUAGAAUAUGUGAGAGGGAAGUAGAAUUCCCAGGUGUAGCGGUGAAAUGCGUAGAGAUCUGGAGGAAUACCGAUGGCGAAGGCAGCUUCCUGGCAUAAUAUUGACACUGAGAUUCGAAAGCGUGGGUAGCAAAACAGGAUUAGAUACCCUGGUAGUCCACGCCGUAAACGAUGUCUACUAGCCGUUGGGGUCCUUGAGACUUUAGUGGCGCAGUUAACGCGAUAAGUAGA